UAGGAUCUGUAAUUGGCUAAGCAAACAAACCCAAAGGGUGCUCACCAAUGCGUCGUCUUCAUCUUGGAAAGAAGUCACGAGUGGAGUGCCACAGGGUUCCGUCCUGGGCCCGAUUCUGUUCAACAUCUUUAUUAACAACUUAGAGUAAGGGUUAGAAGGCACGAUCAUGAAGUUUGCAGAUGACACCAAACUGGGAGGGAUAGCUAACACUCCAGAAGUCAGGAGCAGAAUUCAAAACGAUCUUGACAGACUAGAGAGAUGGGCCAAAACUAACAAAAUGAAGUUCAACAGGGACAAAUGGAAGAUACUUCAUUUCGGCAGAAAAAAUGGAAAUCAAAGAUACAGAAUGGGGGACGCCUGGCUUGACAGCAGUGUGUGCGAAAAAGACCUUGGAGUCCUCGUGGACAACAAGUUAAACAUGAGCCAACAAUGUGAUGCAGCAGCCAAAAAAGCCAACGGGAUUCUGGCCUGCAUAAAUAGGGGUAUAGCGUCUAGAUACAGGGAAGUCAUGCUCCCCCUCUAUUCUGCCUUGGUCAGACCACACCUGGAAUACUGUGUCCAAUUCUGGGCACCACAGUUGAAGGGAGAUGUUGACAAGCUGGAAAGCGUCCAGAGGAGGGCGACUAAAAUGAUUAAGGGUCUGGAGAACAAGCCCUAUGAGGAGAGGCUUAAAGAGCUGGGCAUGUUUAGCCUGCAGAAGAGAAGGCUGAGAGGAGACAUGAUAGCCAUGUACAAAUAUGUGAAGGGAAGUCAUAGGGAGGAGGGAGCAAGCUUGUUGGCUAAACAUGCCCAGUUCUUCAAGCCACUCCUCAUAGGGCUUGUUCUCCAGACCCUAGAUCAUUUUAGUUGCCCUCCUCUGACCAUCUUGACCAAACUUUCAUACAGUAUGUGAAUUCUUGGAAGGUAUGAGAAGUUUAGAGAGAAGGAGGGAGGAAGAGGUUUGAAUUUUGGACUCCAAUUGUGUCAUGAUUCCCCACUCUGCCACCCACUUGGGCAAGUCACACACUCUCAGCCCAGAAAAGCCAAUGGAACAGGAAAUAGCACUUUCAAACCAGGAACUAAUUUCCUUAUUCAGAGGCUGAUAGCCAUCUGUCAGGAAUGAUUUGAUGGUGUACUACGAUUUCUGUUCCUGGGUGAUAAAUGUCAUUUCCUAAUUGGUUCUGUCAUAGAAACAUGGCAAAAUCUAUGACACUGCCUGAACUUUGUGCAAGCGACAUGGAUGGAACAUAUUAUGGUUUGGUCCACCAAUUUAACAAAGUUUCAGCCACAAAAACAAAGUUUCUGAAGUAGAACAAUGACUUUCACAGUAAAGACAACCCAAUGAAACAGGAAAUAAGACUUUCAAACCAGGAACAGAUUUCUGCAAUUAUUAAAAAAUGGUUUAUUAUAAAAGCUAUGAAAAUUUGCCAAAAAUCAGAGGAUAAGGGAAACGUUCCACAUUUUGGUGAGCUAUCAGUGUUAAAUGUGUUCUACCACUGAACCAAGUUUGAAGAAGAUCACUCAAAAAAUGAGGGCGGGAGAGCCCCCUAAGUCCCCCCCCUGGGGCUGUUUUGGGGCGACCGCUCAUGCGCGUCCGCCAUUAACGAAUUAAUUUCGAAAAUAACGAAUUUUCGUUAAUUUCGAAAAAUUUUGGGGGCCAAAUUCGUUAUUAGCAACAAAAACGAAAAACUGCCCCCUCUAGUUUUGAAACGAGUUUAGAAUCAAAUUUUUCAUGGAUCGAUCAAGCCUAAUAUAUAUAUAUAUAUUCUGGAUCAGUUUCCAUCCUUGCACAU
ensembl:lncRNA